UGUUCCCUCUCAUUCACUUCUUCUUAAACUAAACCAAUGCUGAUUUUUCUCGUUUCCUCUUUCUUGUUAUUUAUUUUCAAGUCACUUGCUUUUUUUUUUCUCUCACUACGUCUGUCUCUUUGUAUAUUCGCUCACUUAUUUUCUUAUUGAAAAGUCCUCUAUUACUACUUGAUUUGUUUUCUUUUUCACCUAUACCAAUUUAUAUGCUUUUACAACUUUUCCCCUUCAUACAUCUCUUAAUAAAUUCGCCACCUCUGAGUUUAUAAACAACUGCAACGCACUUCGAUACAUGAAAUAGCUGACUGACACAAGAUUGGCAGCUUUAAAAGACACUUGAUGAUGGAGAAUGCAGACGGAACCAGACAUCCUUAACAGCUAUAAAGAAAACAACUCAUGGCAUUGACAAAUACUCAAUUGACUAACAUGUCUGCUCUUAGAUUUAGCAUGUUAUGUUAUGUGGACUAACUGUAACACUGACAUAUCCAAGUCUGAAGAGUUGUCAUGGAAUGAUAAUGCUCAGUACCAUAUGUGGGGUAAAGUGAAAUGUGAAUUAAUUUCCUUUUAUGUUACAAAGUCUUUUCUAUCACAGAAGGAUGCAGUAGAAUCAAAUUGCAUACACAUUUUCAUAUAGUAGGCCGUAUUUGUUACUAACGUUUCUAAUACAAUAAUAUUAUAGUUCUUACUGGGACUAAUAUAAAUCCAAGCCUGUUAGUUUACACUGUAACUAAAUUGAUUCUUGGCCCUCAUAUUUCAUAAUAAACAAAACACCUUGCGUAACUAAAUAAAUCAUAUCAUCGGGCUCAAAAUAGUUUUUACUAAAAUAUAUGUUUGUUUACUGGGACCCAUCAGAAAUUAGCACCCUUUUCUUGUAUUGCACACAUUUAGUCCCCCUUAUGUUGUAGUAAGACCAAUAUAAUCUUCAGCACUAAAUAAUUUGAUGACGCUUUACAAAUAAAUGACACUAAUGACAAUAA